rnacentral:rRNA from 1 species
CUCAGAUUGAACGCUGGCGGCAUGCCUUACACAUGCAAGGUCGAACGGCAGCACGGGAGCUUGCUCCUGGUGGCGAGUGGCGAACGGGUGAGUAAUACAUCGGAACGUACCCUGAAGUGGGGGAUAACGUAGCGAAAGUUACGCUAAUACCGCAUAUUCUGUGAGCAGGAAAGAGGGGGAUCGCAAGACCUCUUGCUUUAGGAGCGGCCGAUGUCGGAUUAGCUAGUUGGUGAGGUAAAGGCUCACCAAGGCGACGAUCCGUAGCGGGUCUGAGAGGAUGAUCCGCCACACUGGGACUGAGACACGGCCCAGACUCCUACGGGAGGCAGCAGUGGGGAAUUUUGGACAAUGGGCGCAAGCCUGAUCCAGCCAUGCCGCGUGAGUGAAGAAGGCCUUCGGGUUGUAAAGCUCUUUCGGUGGGGAAGAAAUUGCACAGGAUAAUACCUUGUGUAGAUGACGGUACCCGCAUAAGAAGCACCGGCUAACUACGUG